rnacentral:rRNA from 1 species
GGCUCAGAUUGAACGCUGGCGGCAGGCCUAACACAUGCAAGUCGAGCGGUAGCACAGAGAAGCUUGCUUCUUGGGUGACGAGCGGCGGACGGGUGAGUAAUGCAUAGGAAUCUGCCCGAUAGUGGGGGAUAACCUGGGGAAACCCAGGCUAAUACCGCAUACGUCCUACGGGAGAAAGGGGGCUCCGGCUCCCGCUAUGGGAUGAGCCUAUGUCGGAUUAGCUAGUUGGUGAGGUAACGGCUCACCAAGGCAACGAUCCGUAGCUGGUCUGAGAGGAUGAUCAGCCACAUCGGGACUGAGACACGGCCCGAACUCCUACGGGAGGCAGCAGUGGGGAAUAUUGGACAAUGGGCGCAAGCCUGAUCCAGCCAUGCCGCGUGUGUGAAGAAGGCCCUCGGGUUGUAAAGCACUUUCAGCGAGGAAGAACGCCUAGCGGUUAAUACCCGCUAGGAAAGACAUCACUCGCAGAAGAAGCACCGGCUAACUCCGUGCCAGCAGCCGCGGUAAUACGGAGGGUGCAAGCGUUAAUCGGAAUUACUGGGCGUAAAGCGCGCGUAGGUGGCUUGAUAAGCCGGUUGUGAAAGCCCCGGGCUCAACCUGGGAACGGCAUCCGGAACUGUCAAGCUAGAGUGCAGGAGAGGAAGGUAGAAUUCCCGGUGUAGCGGUGAAAUGCGUAGAGAUCGGGAGGAAUACCAGUGGCGAAGGCGGCCUUCUGGACUGACACUGACACUGAGGUGCGAAAGCGUGGGUAGCAAACAGGAUUAGAUACCCUGGUAGUCCACGCCGUAAACGAUGUCGACCAGCCGUUGGGUGCCUAGCGCACUUUGUGGCGAAGUUAACGCGAUAAGUCGACCGCCUGGGGAGUACGGCCGCAAGGUUAAAACUCAAAUGAAUUGACGGGGGCCCGCACAAGCGGUGGAGCAUGUGGUUUAAUUCGAUGCAACGCGAAGAACCUUACCUACUCUUGACAUCCUGCGAAUUCGGUAGAGAUACCUUAGUGCCUUCGGGAACGCAGAGACAGGUGCUGCAUGGCUGUCGUCAGCUCGUGUUGUGAAAUGUUGGGUU